AUCCAGCUGACGAGUCCCUAACUAGGACGAAACGCGUGUCCUGGAU
rnacentral:hammerhead_ribozyme from 1 species